rnacentral:rRNA from 1 species
GACGGGUGAGUAAUGUCUGGGAAACUGCCUGAUGGAGGGGGAUAACUACUGGAAACGGUAGCUAAUACCGCAUAAUGUCGCAAGACCAAAGAGGGGGACCUUCGGGCCUCUUGCCAUCGGAUGUGCCCAGAUGGGAUUAGCUUGUUGGUGGGGUAACGGCUCACCAAGGCGACGAUCCCUAGCUGGUCUGAGAGGAUGACCAGCCACACUGGAACUGAGACACGGUCCAGACUCCUACGGGAGGCAGCAUG